CCUGGAACGUAGUUCAGCGGCACUGUGCUUGCCUGGCAGGUGUGAAGUUCUGAGUUGGAUCCCUGGUACCACUGGAGCCCUCUGUAAUGGAACAGCUUCUUCUCUUCAAGUUGCACAGCAGUUGAAAGAAAUUUACGUCAGGAAAAGACAUAAGGUACCUGAGCUUCAGCAAAGCCAGCAAAGCUAUUCCCCAAAGCUGGCCAAAUACCAGCCA